rnacentral:rRNA from 1 species
AGUGAACGCUGGCGGUAGGCCUAACACAUGCAAGUCGAACGGCAGCACAGUAAGAGCUUGCUCUUACGGGUGGCGAGUGGCGGACGGGUGAGGAAUACAUCGGAAUCUACUUUUUCGUGGGGGAUAACGUAGGGAAACUUACGCUAAUACCGCAUACGACCUACGGGUGAAAGCAGGGGAUCUUCGGACCUUGCGCGAUUGAAUGGGCCGAUGUCGGAUUAGCUAGUUGGCGGGGUAAAGGCCCACCAAGGCGACGAUCCGUAGCUGGUCUGAGAGGAUGAUCAGACACACUGGAACUGAGACACGGUACAGACUCCUACGGGAGGCAGCAGUGGGGAAUAUUGGACAAUGGGCGCAAGCCUGAUCCAGCCAUACCGCGUGGGUGAAGAAGGCCUUCGGGUUGUAAAGCCCUUUUGUUGGGAAAGAAAAGCAGCAGGUUAAUACCCCGCUGUUCUGACGGUACCCAAAGAAUAAGCACCGGCUAACUUCGUG